UGUCAAGCUUUAAAGCAAAGGUUUUGACAAACAAGAAUAAAGGAGAAUAUGCGGAGCAUUUGCACAUUGAAUUGGAUAGAUUCCGGAGCAUCGACUAUAUGUCAAGUUUAGUAAGUGUGAGUUUUGGCUAAAGAAGGUUCCGUUCAUUAGGCCUGUUUUGUCCGAGUAAGGAAUUGAAGUGGAUCUUGGAAAGGUCAAGGACAUAAGUCGUUAACAACUGCUCAUGAAGUAAGAAGUUCUCUUACGAUAGCCGGACGCUAUCGAGGUCAGAUCUGAAUAUGAGGCAUGAGAUGGCUGAAACUAAUCCAAGAUUAUAAACUAGAGAUUGUAUCAUCCGAACAAAACUAAUGUACCCUGCAUAACCGUAUCUUGCACGAUACCUUAAAGAAAAAGGUAGAACAAGCUCAGAAGAAGGACAAAGGAAUAAGA
rnacentral:lncRNA from 1 species